UUGCUUCCAAUUUCUGGGGUUCUUAUAGGCAUAGAUAAGAUUCGUGCAGCCCACCACUCAUUCUAGAAGAAUGUUGUAGUUAAUUCAUUGCCUGCUGCUUGCAUCUCUUCAAGUACAAUUUUGGUUAAGCUGUGUACGCAGGUUUGCUCUGGUCAGUUUAGUACAUUUAUGGGUAUUUUGUUACUCGGAUCCUUUUUUUUACAUUUAUUCAUUGACAUAGUUUUAACCCCUUCCACUAAGGCAGUGAACUAAUUGUGCUGGAAGGUUAUAAUACCAGAAAAGAACAAAAUGUUGGAUGUAAGAUUAUUGGUUCACCUAUUCCUGUCCAAGCUUUAGACAAUCUGUUUGUUACAACUACAAUAUGACAUCUUCCAAUUACUUUUUGCUAUUGUAGCAGUUUAUGUGUGCAAUGCAAUAAGCUAAGUGAAAGCUAAGCUUCAUUUUGUAGGAUCUGACCAUAAUUCAUUUUGAUUUGUUCACAGGGAGCUAAUAUUCAUCAUAUUUUCUCUUUCUGGUAAGCCUUUCUACCCAUCUCAUGAUUUGCUUAUUUGCCAUCCAAUUAGUUUACUAGAAAUCUCUUCUUUUGACAUAAAAUUGUACUGCUGGAAUUAUUUCAAAUGCCAUGUUUUCUUUGUUUUGCUAAGAUGGCUUCAGAAGUCAACUGCAGAAGUAAAAAAAGAAUUUGACAAAGUACUGCUCUGUGACAUGUUAUGAUUUUCCUUAAUCAAUUUACUUCUAUUUGAUUUUUUGGUCCAUUGUUCAAGUGAUUUCAUCUGAAAUUUUGAUAUUGAUGCUAUAGCCUGAAAACACCUUCCUAAAUAGUAUCAUGAUAAUUCAUGAAGUUUGGGAAGUCUCAAUUCGUGCUAAAUUUGAGUGUGCACAGUUCGCUCUAUCGAAGUAACAUUUUUUAUAGAAAAUUUUAUGACUUAAUAAUAUAAGUGAACAACAUUGAAUAAUAUCUAAAUUAACCAUUCCUUAUCCUUUUUGAAAGCAAUUGUAUAUUUGAAUGCUUGUGCUUACAAGUUUGUGCUUCUUUUUUGUUUAGGAUGAUUGUUCAAAUAAAUAUAGAUAGCCAAGUUUCUUCAAUAAGAGUUUUCCUUCAAAAUUUGAAAAUCAGGGAAUCUAGAGUUCAUUUAGACAAGGAUAUUUUUACUUCAGCUUUAGAACAGAGAUUUGGCUGAUGCAGAGUGAACUCUAUCAGAGAGUCGUCAGUUUGUCAGGACAAAUGUAUGACACUGUAGGUGUUGAGAUGAUUCAAGGAUGAAGUAUGGAAACACAAGAAAGUUUACCCAUUUCAGAUGCCAUGUAUAUUUUACUUCUGGCCUGGAAUAUUGUAUAUAUUGUAUAACAUCCCUCUCUGUAUCAUUUUCUUCCAUGUACAGAACAACUUAUUGAAUGGAAAUAUAUGGUAUAUUUUAUAACGAAUCAAA